rnacentral:rRNA from 1 species
GACGGGGGGGGCAAGUGUUCUUCGGAAUGACUGGGCGUAAAGGGCACGUAGGCGGUGAAUCGGGUUGAAAGUGAAAGUCGCCAAAAACUGGCGGAAUGCUCUCGAAACCAAUUCACUUGGGUGAGACAGAGGAGAGUGGAAUUCCGCGUGUAGUGGUGAAAUGCGUAGAGAUGCGGAGGAACACCAGUGGCGAAAGCGACUUUCUGGUCCUUAACUGACGCUGAGGCGCGAAAGCAUGGGGGGCGAACGGG